rnacentral:rRNA from 1 species
UUGAAAGGGAAACGAUUGAAGUCAGUCGUACCGGCGGGAAAUCAGCUUCUCGAGUGGGGGUUCGNGGGUGCGUGGAGCUUCGGCCUUCGUCGCUUGUGAUACCUCUGCUUCUGGGGCGUACUUUUCCGUGUGGUAGGUCAACAUCGGUUUUGAUUGCCAUAAAAUGACCGGAGGAAUGUGGCUUCGAUCUUGUAUUGGAGUGUUAUAGCCUCUGGUAGAUGUGGUGGUNGGGAUCGAGGAUUGCAACGAAUNCCCUUUGGGCUAUCCGCC